GACGAACGCUGGCGGCGUGCCUAAUACAUGCAAGUAGAACGCUGAAGGAGGAGCUUGCUUCUCUGGAUGAGUUGCGAACGGGUGAGUAACGCGUAGGUAACCUGCCUGGUAGCGGGGGAUAACUAUUGGAAACGAUAGCUAAUACCGCAUAAUAGUAGAUGUUGCAUGACAUUUGCUUAAAAGGUGCAAUUGCAUCACUACCAGAUGGACCUGCGUUGUAUUAGCUAGUUGGUGGGGUAACGGCUCACCAAGGCGACGAUACAUAGCCGACCUGAGAGGGUGAUCGGCCACACUGGGACUGAGACACGGCCCAGACGCCUACGGGAGGAAGCAGUAGGGAAUCUUCGGCAAGGGACGGAAGUCUGACCGAGCAACGCCGCGUGAGUGAAGAAGGUUUUCGGAUCGUAAAGCUCUGUUGUAAGAGAAGAACGAGUGUGAGAGUGGAAAGUUCACACUGUGACGGUAUCUGACCAGAAAGGGACGGCUAACUACGUG
rnacentral:rRNA from 1 species